GGAUGUGAGGGUUACUUGGCUGUGACCUCAGGCACCUCACUGGUAGCAGCUGAUCGGACUGGAUGGGCCUCUGUCUCCUUGCUUGUUCACUGCUCUGUCUCCCUCCCAUAGCUGCACCCCAAAUGGCAAAGGAGGACCCUGACUAGUGCCCUGCCAGACCCUCCAAACAAGAUCUUGGGGUCCAAUCAUUUUGAUCCCUGGACUAAUUAGCAUUCCCGGAGGGUCCCUGGUACAAGGUAUAGUGGGUGGACCAGUUGCCACUCCCCCUCCCAGAGGCCCCUAGGAGCCUGAAGAGCAGCCUCCAGGG
rnacentral:snRNA from 1 species